UUGGGGUCGGGCUCGGUGGCUGUAGAAUUCAUAUUUCUAAGGUUUUGCUUCAUU
rnacentral:tRNA from 1 species